rnacentral:rRNA from 1 species
GACGAACGCUGGCGGCGUGCCUAAUACAUGCAAGUAGAACGCUGAAGAGAGGAGCUUGCUCUUCUUGGAUGAGUUGCGAACGGGUGAGUAACGCGUAGGUAACCUGCCUUGUAGCGGGGGAUAACUAUUGGAAACGAUAGCUAAUACCGCAUAACAAUGGAUGACACAUGUCAUUUAUUUGAAAGGGGCAAUUGCUCCACUACAAGAUGGACCUGCGUUGUAUUAGCUAGUAGGUGAGGUAAUGGCUCACCUAGGCGACGAUACAUAGCCGACCUGAGAGGGUGAUCGGCCACACUGGGACUGAGACACGGCCCAGACUCCUACGGGAGGCAGCAGUAGGGAAUCUUCGGCAAUGGGGGCAACCCUGACCGAGCAACGCCGCGUGAGUGAAGAAGGUUUUCGGAUCGUAAGGCUCUGUUGUAAGUCAAGAACGGGUGUGAGAGUGGAAAGUUCACACUGUGACGGUAGCUGACCAGAAAGGGACGGCUAACUACGUG